ACGGCUACCUUGUUACGACUUCACCCUAAUCAUCUGUCCUACCUUAGACGGCUGACUCCUAUAAAGGUUAUCCCACCGGCUUUGGGUGUUACAGACUCUCAUGGUGUGACGGGCGGUGUGUACAAGGCCCGGGAACGUAUUCACCGCGGCGUGCUGAUCCGCGAUUACUAGCGAUUCCAGCUUCGUGUAGGCGAGUUGCAGCCUACAGUCCGAACUGAGAACGGCUUUAAGAGAUCCGCUUGCCUUCGCAGGUUCGCUUCUCGUUGUACCGUCCAUUGUAGCACGUGUGUAGCCCAGGUCAUAAGGGGCAUGAUGACUUGACGUCAUCCCCACCUUCCUCCGGUUUGUCACCGGCAGUCUCAUUAGAGUGCCCAACUUAAUGAUGGCAACUAAUGACAAGGGUUGCGCUCGUUGCGGGACUUAACCCAACAUCUCACGACACGAGCUGACGACAGCCAUGCACCACCUGUCUCAGCGUCCCCGAAGGGAACACCUAAUCUCUUAGGUUUGCACUGGAUGUCAAGACCUGGUAAGGUUCUUCGCGUUGCUUCGAA
rnacentral:rRNA from 1 species